rnacentral:rRNA from 1 species
UACAGAGGUCUCAAGCGUUGUUCGGAUUCAUUGGGCGUAAAGGGUGCGUAGGCGGCGCGGUAAGUCGGGUGUGAAAUCUCAGGGCUCAACCCUGAAACUGCACUUGAUACUGCUCUGCUUGAGGACUGGAGAGGAGACUGGAAUUCACGGUGUAGCAGUGAAAUGCGUAGAUAUCAUGAGGAAGACCAGUGGCGAAGGCGGGUCUCUGGACAGUUCCUGACACUGAGGCACGAAGGCCAGGGGAGCAAACGGG